rnacentral:tRNA from 2 species
GUUGCGGUGGCCGAGUGGUUAAGGCGUUGGACUAGAAAUCCAAUGUGGAUCUUCCCGCGCAGGUUCGAAUCCUGCCCGCAACG